AAGUCGUAACAAGGUUUCCGUAGGUGAACCUGCGGAAGGAUCAUUACACGAUUUCGGUUAACACCGUUUUCACCCUUUGUUUAUACGUACCACAUGUUUCCUCGGGUGGCUUGCCCCCCGUUAGGACACCCCAUAAACCUUUUUGUAAUAGCAGUUAGCGUCUGAAAAAUAAGUUAAUUAUUAAAACUUUCAACAAUGGAUCUCUUGGUUCUG
rnacentral:misc_RNA from 1 species